AGAGUUUGAUCCUGGCUCAGGAUGAACGCUAGCUACAGGCUUAACACAUGCAAGUCGAGGGGCAGCAUGGACCCAGUUUUGCUGGGUUUGAUGGCGACCGGCGCACGGGUGAGUAACGCGUAUCCAACCUGCCCUUUACUCCGGGAUAGUCUCCUGAAAGGGAGUUUAAUACCGGAUGUGUUUGUCUUUCCGCAUGGGAGCGACAAAUAAAGAUUGAUUGGUAAAGGAUGGGGAUGCGUCCCAUUAGCUUGUUGGCGGGGUAACGGCCCACCAAGGCGACGAUGGGUAGGGGUUCUGAGAGGAAGGUCCCCCACAUUGGAACUGAGACACGGUCCAAACUCCUACGGGAGGCAGCAGUGAGGAAUAUUGGUCAAUGGGCGGGAGCCUGAACCAGCCAAGUAGCGUGAAGGAUGACGGCCCUACGGGUUGUAAACUUCUUUUAUAAGGGAAUAAAGUUCGCCACGUGUGGUGUUUUGUAUGUACCUUAUGAAUAAGCAUCGGCUAAUUCCGUGCCAGCAGCCGCGGUAAUACGGAAGAUGCGAGCGUUAUCCGGAUUUAUUGGGUUUAAAGGGAGCGUAGGCGGGCUUUUAAGUCAGCGGUCAAAUGCCACGGCUCAACCGUGGCCAGCCGUUGAAACUGCAAGCCUUGAGUCUGCACAGGGCACAUGGAAUUCGUGGUGUAGCGGUGAAAUGCUUAGAUAUCACGAAGAACUCCGAUCGCGAAGGCAUUGUGCCGGGGCAGCACUGACGCUGAGGCUCGAAAGUGCGGGUAUCAAACAGGAUUAGAUACCCUGGUAGUCCGCACGGUAAACGAUGAAUGCUCGCUAUGGGCGAUAUAUUGUCCGUGGCCAAGCGAAAGCGUUAAGCAUUCCACCUGGGGAGUACGCCGGCAACGGUGAAACUCAAAGGAAUUGACGGGGGCCCGCACAAGCGGAGGAACAUGUGGUUUAA
rnacentral:rRNA from 1 species